CCUCAGCUUUCUGGUCAAGGCAUCAACAUUGGGAUCUUUUCCAUCACUUGCAGACCUAAAGGAUAAGAUGAAGCUUAUCUUUAUUCUGAUCCCCUGACUCACUCUCCAGAGUAUUUUGAUUUCAAUGUAGUCUUGACUGAUGAGACUGCUUAUGGAGAAAGGCCAAGGCUGAGCCACUCUUGACACCAGAGGCUUUUGGAAGUCAGCAGUAUUGAAAGAGUAACUACUCAUCAGGGAAAGACUCUUCUGAAAGAACUCUACUUUCCUGCUUUGCACAGUUCCUGAGAUGCAUGUGUCUAUCUAUCUCAGCAUUAAGUUCAAAUUUACUCUAUGCACUGAAGAAAGUCCUAUUGAUCCAUAUGAGAUGCUACAUGGAAAAUCCACCACAAACCACAUUUCUUAGUCAUUCCUUACUACGGGAUAUCUGAAUUUACACGUGUUAGAGACUGCUGCUUUGGUCAAAGCCACAGGGACAUGAGGUAACACGCUGCUUUCUCAUUCUGAAACCUGGUGUGGGAAUGACAUGAGCUCACCCACCACUUUUGCACUGUGUAAACAGCCUGCAAAUUAAGUAAGAAAAAAGAGUGCUAAUAAGGAUUCUGGGGAAAAAAACAACAGCAAAAAAACCGCAGCACUGAAAAAGUCAGUGCUAUGAGCUGUUUCAGCCCAGUUUCUGGCAGUCACGUUGCUGGAAGAUAAACCUUGGCCCUGAAGAUUUCAGAAUUCCCAAACAAGCAUAUUCUGUUGUGGGACUUCUCUCAUAGAGCCUUAUAAUUUAGACUGGAAGGCACUUGCAGAGAUCUCUGAUCCAAUUCAUGCCACAAGACUUCUACGUGUUCCACCAAGGCCUCUCCGGAGGGAAAGGAAAAUAUGGUUUUAUUGCUUUUCCUGAUGGGGAAAUUAAUACAGGCAUCUUCAUAACACAGCAACAUCCGGUGGGCUGAGAACAAGGAAUUAACAGCCAGACUUUGGCUCUGUUUUGAAUAUAUAUUUGCUCAUAGUAUAAAGAUGAAUAGAACAAUUGUUCUUUUUGACUUGUCUAAUAGAAACACUAUCAUCAUCUUCAGCAGCAGUAACAGGGAGCUUUGUGUGGUGGAUAAAACACUACCCAAGAGUCAAAAAUCCUGAGUCCAGCUCUGACAUUUGUUUGGUGUGUGACCCUCACUUUCCUCUCAUCUGGAAAAUGUUCUUUUAGAUGUACUGUUGAAAAUCUCUGUAUGUAAAAAUCAGAAAAUACACAUUAUAAUAUUAAUUGGGAGUAUGUUUAGUCCUGCUUGAAUGACUGCUGGCUUGAAAUAAAAAGCCUGGAAAUCACAAGGUUUUUUUCAAACUAAAAAUUGGCCGAAAGCUGCCAGAGAAGCAGCUUUUCUAGAUUUUGUGUUUACCCAAAUCUUAGUUAACUUUAAAAACUCUAGGUUUAAUGCAGCACAUGUUCAGGACUUGAUCAAGUGAGCAAGUUGUCCCUGAUAUUUGCAAGGCAGAGAUACUUCCUGAAAGCUGGACUAAAGCAAUGCCUGUCCCUUAUAAGCACAGAGCUCUGAGUACAGCCUGACUGCAGUCUGUCCGCUGGACUCAUUCUGAGGUGAGGGACACGCAGCAUGAGACAGCCCAGAAGUUAUGAGCAGAUAAACUGGGUUAAAUGUUUUCAUUUUAUUAAGCAUUCAGUUUGGCUCAACAUGUAAAAUGCCACAGGGGAAAAGCCCUCAGAUCUUACCUCUUCAAACAAGCUGAGGUUAGACUCAGGUCUUCGGAGGAAUCUGGAGAGAAUAUGAACUGGAUUCAUCUGUGUUUUGAAACUGAUUCUACACAAGUAAGUAGCACGAUCUGUCAUUAUGACUGAAUGGACGCAGAAAUCCCGGGCACAGAAAUAGGAAAGCACCUUUGUACCAUAUAAUGAAACCUUAGUGCUUUCUCAACGCAGACAGACUAUAUAGCUGCAGAAUGAUAGCACAUCCAGGUCUAGAACAUAAAACAGUCAUUUCCAGAUGGUAGAAGAAUAUAGGAGAAAAAUCAUAACUGGAUCUCACUGUUUGUGGUUGUAUUUUCUCCCCUCCCUGGGCUCACUGAUGUGAGUCAGCAAUCUGAAGAGUUUGUGGGCAUAGUUUUCAUUGGAGGAGCUUUCAUUUCAUGGUUCCCCAUUUGUGUUCAUUGCCAACUUUACAGCUAAUUUAAACAAAAUUGAGCUUGUAGAUUAAAUGGCAACCCAUGGAAUUUGUUUGUGCAACUACCAGCACUCCUCCUAGUCAGAUUCUAAUUAAAUAGUGAGUUCCUGGACCUGCCUGUGGAAAACACUGGGAAAAAUGGCAGUGCCUGAGUGACAUCAGAGUUAACUCUGUCCAGCCCACUAGAGCCCCUGCAUUCCUCAAUAGCAGUAGGUGAAAUCCUGGGCUGUGGCAAUCUGGGAAAUCUGCCACCAGUUUUGUACAGUUAGAGAAAGGCUAGGAUUUCACCUGGGAAGACUAAAGGAACUGUCUCUUCUUGACAGUGCAACAUUUCCAGUUUUGCAGCUUGCCUUGCAAUGGCUUUAUUUUAACAGAGUGCAUUUUCCCUCAGUGUAGUUAAAGCUAUUCAUGUGUUUCAUUAAAACACAUGCUCAGCUUUUGGAGCAGAACGCUUUGCAAGCCCCUAGCAGAUACCAUUGUGCCCAGAGUGGAUUCUCUGAGUGAGAAGAAAGCAGGCUACAAAAUCUAGCAUUUGCAAAAGGCUUUUUGAAAGCUUUUUUCCAGGGGUUAAGGAGAAACCGGUCACCUCUGAGCUAUUUUCACCAACAAAAAUGCUCAGUUUGAAAUGUAUUCAGAUCUCCGAUAAUAAUACGUGGUUAAGCAGAUUCAUAAGGUGUUCACUAAGCAAGAACAAAGUUGGCUUUUGCUGUUUCUUCUCACUGGCAAAUAGAGCUAGAGAGAGUGCACGCUGACUGGCAAUGAUUUCUACUACCAUAUCCGUUUCCAUGGUGGAAAGCAAAAUUCAUUUGCCAACUCACCAACAAACUUUCUCCACUUCUAAUUCAAUUGUACAUGCUCUCCUUCCAGACACCGCAGCUGGAGAGUUAACCUGAUGGAACAGAGCAGGAACCAGCCAUAUCUGGUUCUGGAUCACCUUUUCUUGCCCCCUUUCAGCUUAGCAGUAGGAAUUUGAGCAUGGAACAAAACCUGGAUUGCUCUAAGUUGAUGUUACAUGCCAAACAAUCUUUGGCUCAGCCCUGGGAAACAGGCAGUUAUGAUCCAGCUUUUCAGUGAACAUCAAAGGAUGUAGUAAAACUGGAACAGGUAUGGAAGAGAAAGGCUGGGGAUAUUCUGUGUGAGAAACGGUUAAACAGGCUAAGAUGCUUGAAGGUGGAAGACAGAUACACCCAAGGUCUAUAAAACUACAAGGAGCAUUAAGUGAGUCGUGGGGCAGACAAUACAUUGCAAUGUUCUGAGAGCUGGAGGACAUCAUCUGGAAUCAGCUGGAGGUGGGUUUAGAGCAGGAGAAGGAAAAUAGGUCUCCUGCAAAUUAGAAGACCUGAAUACAUCUGCAAAUCCAGUUAAGCUAUGGAGCUCUUUGCCGUGUGUCAGUCAUUUACAUGGGCUCAAAAGUUAAAACAAAAACAUGGAAGAAAAGUCAGUUGCAAGAGUAUUAAAGCACAACAGAUACCACUUCUCACUCAAAGUCUCUGAACCACAAUUUUACACAGGCUAAGAGAAAACACCCUGAGGAAGUAUUUAUACCUUUCGCCUUGUCUUUACACUUUUUCCUGGACAUCUGUAACAAACUAUCAAUGCAGAAAGAAUCCUUCAGAAACUGGGUAGAAGAGCAAAAAUGUCAUCAUCCUAGGUCAGAGCAAAGAUCCAUCCAUGCUCAGAACCAGACACUUGUUUAUGCUUAAGGAGGGAGCAUAAGAAACGAAUACUUCUAGCAAAUGUCCCUUGCCACUUCUCACAAGCUGUCGUGUAAGAACUCUAAAUGAAUGUUUAUUUUCCUUGACAGAUUUAAAGUGAUUCAAGUGAUAGAACAGCAUAGUAGAAGGGAAAUCGUCCUACGUUUUUAGCCUUUACAUGAUAUCAGACUGGUCUCAGCAUCUCAGUCAUCCUGUUCAUCUCUUGUCUGAAGCUUCCACAUUCACAGAAGCACAAAGAAGAUGGAGAACUCAGUGGUACUACUUUCCUCCAGUGUGAAAAGAGGCUGAAAAGAAUAGCAUCUUAUUGGCUCUCCCAGGGAAAGAAAGCAUGUGCAACUGAAAUGCUGUUAGAUAUCAGAGAAUUCACACAGAGUGGUGUGUAUUGGAAAGGAGGCAGUACGUGUUCUGCCGUCACAGCGAAACUGGUUUUGUUGUUAAGCCAGCUGCUGAGACCUGGUUCAUUUGCCCAAUUCAAUCUACCCUGGGCUUUCCACAUCUUUGCUUCAAAGCCCUGUUUAUGAAGACAAAGACGGGAACUUGGCGGCUGCCAUACAAAUGUCACAUUUUAUGAGCAAGACAAUUGCUCUCAGAAGGUUUUUUUUCUUUCUUUUUUGGCAGGCUCUCAAUCCACGGCCUGGGUCUCCAUGCCCCCCAACUCCUCCACCACACAGUACAGAAAUGGUCACUGCAAAUUUCUGUCUGAGGCCAGCCUUGGCAGCGGAGCCAACGAGAAGAGAAACAGCCUGUGCUCUAAUAAGUAAAAUAUUUAUGUCUUGCUUUGGCUAACAUACCCUCUCUCAAUAAAAUAUUUUUCCCAGGAGGAAAUCUAUGAAAGGGAGGGAGCUCCUUUAUUAUGUCCCCAAAUCAUUCUUUUCUGCUGCCCUUCAAAAGCCUGGAAAUCAAAGAACACUGCAGUCCGAAGCUUUUUGUUGCUGUUCUUGACUUUGUUAUCGUUAGUUAUUACAAUCAUUACAUUGAUUACCAUUAUGAGCUCUCAAGAGGCCCUGGCUAAUCAGCACCCCAUUCCAGGAAACGCUCUGACAAAUCUCUCGCAGCAUAUGCAUACACAAAGCUUGUAGUCUAAAAAGACCAGCUUAAACAGACCGUUAACCCAUUCCCAUGCCAGGGAACUGCAGUACAGUAACUGCAAAGUAUAGCUAUGUGGGAAGCUUGUGUUAGAGACUGGACAAAGCUCUUAAGUCUGCUGCUAAAGAGAGCAGCCUGGUUGUUUCUUCCUGGAGCCUUGGAAAACCAUCCUCAAGAGACUCUUCACCUGCAAAUGAUUCACUGAUGAUGUUUUGCACUUCGACUUGUUGCUAACCUCCCAAACUACCAGCACAGUCUGUAGCUCAAACAGCAGCCUGCAGGACAUAGGGCAGGCCCUGGUUCAGCUGGAGGGUUACUUGUUGGGAUCUGCCAUUCACAGGCACCCGGAAAGAUGGCACACACUGACUUUCAACCACAGGCGACGUUGCUACUCCUGAGACCACCAGCAAAAUUUCAGUCUCUUUCUGGGCAUAUAAUCUCCGCCAGACUGCAGUGCAGGUCACAGGACUGCUCAUGGCAUCUGUUCUCUCUUGUAAGUGCUACAUUACAGCUGCUUUUUGCAGGUCCUCGCCUGUGACUUGUAUCAAUUUCCUGAUGUAUGGGAAGAGGCAGAAGUCCCGUAUCCAACCAAAUGAAAACAGAUUCUGAACUUUGAUGGUUCCUCUUCUAGGUCACCAGCCUUACACAAGCCACACUGUAGUGGGGAAGAGGAGGGAAGGAGAGGAAUAUACAAAACCAACCCCAGUCUAGUCUCUAUUAAGGAAUACAAAGUAAAAAUCCCGUGGUAGCAAUGGCAAAAACACAUGCAAAAUUCAAGGAAAAGAGAAAAGAAACCCCUAUUUGGGAUUUUAAAAGAAGAACUGAACAUGCACACAUAAUACCCUUUGGCAAGGGAGCCCAGGCAGGAAAGCAUUGCAACUCCAACAUGCUGUGCUCAGAGAAGGUGUUAAUGGUCCAGCCAUCCUGUGUUAUUGCACACAAACAAGAGAGGCCCAGCAGAACUGUAGGGGUCUUUAAGAUCCCCACCAAUAUGGAAAGAGCAGAGAGAGUUAUGUAGGAUUAACGCGAGAGAAGAGGAAGGAAAGGGGUGAAGGGAAGGCAAUGUCCCAAGCACUGGAGACCUCUGAGUUAACAAGGCAGGUCUGUUUGCAUCUCACACAUGGAAAUGAGGAUGCUCUGUCUGCCCUUCUCUCCCACACCUUGGUCUCUGCUUCAUGCACUCAUGGCAGGACAGCAAGGCUCUCCUCCUUUAUGGGACUCUUUGGGCCAAACAAGAGAUUUCUUGAUCAGCUGCAGUUAGGAUAACCAGUCCCAAAUCCCUCUAAACUCCCAGAAGGAGAGAGGGGCUUCUGGCACUUUGCUUGGAAGUAACCAUGCAUGAUGAAUUUACAGCUGAUGCCUGUAUCUGUGGUCUCUUCCUAACAUAGUCAGAGAUUCUGUCUCUUAUGCAUGGGAAAGAAAUAUUGGAAAGGUCGUGACACUGGCCUGUGCAUGUUUCCUUAGUGAGAGCUAGAAAAAUCUUCACACGUGUCAACCUUCCUAGGCCCAUAAGCCACACACCAAAAUCAUCACAUGGCUGUGGGCUCCCAGGCACAAAGGUCUGGGUGAAAGCCAGGAGUGUACGUGCUUGUGGUUUGAGAAUUUACAUGCUGCAUGGAAUGGGUGGUAUCUUCCCCAAAGCCUGCCACCACAAACACAAUGGGAUACCCAAGAGCUCCUUCGCUUUGCCAGUGAUGCCAUAACAAAAGCUUAUAUCCAGAAAAAGAAAAAAGAAAAAAGAGAAAACAAAGAGAAAAAAAAAAAAAAAGAAGAAAGAUCAGUUACAUUCAAAUACAGGCAAAAGCUUUCCCAGUGUGAAUAGCGAGGGAAAGACAUCAGUCGUUUGCACAGGACCAUAGGGUGUAGCUGAUUCUUCACCACUCAGAGGUUUUAAUAAAGACUGAUUUUUUUCCAAAUCUGCUUUAGGUGACGGAGAUCUCAUCUGAUGAAAUUCUGCUAUCUAUCUAAUGUCUAAAAGUGAGCCAUCUGUAAUAGUAUUGAAUACUCCAAAAUCUCUACUGCAACACCUAAAGCCUGUGUAACCAGAUCCUAUGAGUGGUAUUUCAUAUCCAGAAUAAAAGGCUGCAGAAGAUUCAGACAGCAAUAUGAACUUUAGGAGAGGCCAGCUCUGGCUUUCACAUUGGCAGAUGUGAUUUCACCACCACCAUCUAUAUAAGCAUCACUGUCAGAAAAUUUUGGAGGCCACUUUAACUGAUCUAUCGAGGGUGAACUCCAGAGUUAUAAUUAAUUGCACACCAUCAGGCAAAGUGCUGGACUGUUGAACCUGUGUACAGUUUUCCUGUGGAUUAGAUCAAAUUCCCGAUGUAGGAAAAACUAUUAGGGCCUCUGAUCUGUUUUCACUUUUGAGAGCUUAACACACGUUACUGACUUAAAUCAAGUGAUUUCCAACAUAUACCUGUGAGAACGCAGGAUCAAACCACAAUGUGUUGUGUUUCAAAAUAUUUUUUCACAAUAAGCUGGUUUAGUGAACUCACUUUUCACCCCUAGAGAGAUGACUGUAAUGAGAUCACGCAGAGAAAGGAUAUGGAGUUUCACCCCAAUCUCCAGGAGACAACAGGCCAUAUCCAAAAAUCCUCCCUCGCAUCGGUAGUACUUUUGGUCACGAAGCAAUACCAUCUGUGGGGCUAAUACCAAGCAAAGAGCAAGGUCAUAACUUCAGCUGUCACAUGAAGAUUUGAAGCUGAGAUUGUGUGAGCUCCCAGCUUAGGAAAUGCUCUUCCUGAAGCCUCACCUCCUGGAGUCCUGUCAAUACCCAAGACAUUUUCCCCAUAGUUCUUUUUCUCCUCUUUCACUUAAAAAAGGAAGAAAAGCUUAUUCAGAAAGACAUAUUCUGAUAGGAACAACUUCAAAACGCGUCACGAAGGCGGGACCACAUUUAAUGUCUUACUUUGGAUAAAUUGGCUGUGACUUUCGCUUCAGCAACAUAAAGCAGCGUGUCAGGUUGAUGUGAGGCUCUCGUCGGACCAAAUCUGAGCUGUAUUGCUACAAGGAAAUGAGAGUCAUAAAAGUGACUCUCAUAAAAUCACACAGCAAAUUAGUGCGAUCAGAACCCUGAUCUUGCAAAUCCUAAUCCAACACUCCAGCUAAAAAAUCUGCGAGGGGAAAUGGCUGUCCCUGCAUCAUCUGCAUCUCUCCAGGAUGAAACCGGUGUAUUUAAUUUCAACGCGAACAUUUUAUGUUCAAGAAAAAAAAAUAAAUGGUGUUUGUCGGUUCUAAUUAAA